UACGUAGGGUGCAAUCGUUAAUCGGAAUUACUGGGCGUAAAGCGUGCGCAGGCGGUUUUGUAAGUCUGUCGUGAAAGCCCCGGGCUCAACCUGGGAAUUGCGAUGGAGACUGCAAGGCUUGAAUCUGGCAGAGGGGGGUAGAAUUCCACGUGUAGCAGUGAAAUGCGUAGAGAUGUGGAGGAACACCGAUGGCGAAGGCAGCCCCCUGGGUCAAGAUUGACGCUCAUGCACGAAAGCGUGGGGAGCAAACAGG
rnacentral:rRNA from 1 species